UUGAUUCAUUUGUUUAUGAUUCCACUCAGACAUGCUAUAAAAAAGAUACAAGAGUUUGGGUCCCCCGGCGGGCGCCUGGUUCCGGCGGCCCUCGCGGGCCUUCCGGGGCGUUAACCCGCCGAGGCAACAGUUUGGUAACGUUCACAUUGGGUUUGGGAGUUGUAAACUCGGUAAUGAUCCCUCCGCUGGUUCACCAACGGAGA
rnacentral:misc_RNA from 1 species